GAUGAACGCUGACAGAAUGCUUAACACAUGCAAGUCUACUUGAAUUUGGGUUUUUUAACUAGAUUUGGGUGGCGGACGGGUGAGUAACGCGUAAAGAACUUGCCUCACAGCUAGGGACAACAUUUGGAAACGAAUGCUAAUACCUGAUAUUAUGAUUAUAAGGCAUCUUAGAAUUAUGAAAGCUAUAUGCGCUGUGAGAGAGCUUUGCGUCCCAUUAGCUAGUUGGAGAGGUAACGGCUCACCAAGGCGAUGAUGGGUAGCCGGCCUGAGAGGGUGAACGGCCACAAGGGGACUGAGACACGGCCCUUACUCCUACGGGAGGCAGCAGUGGGGAAUAAUGGACAAUGGACCAAGAGUCUGAUCCAGCAAUUCUGUGUGCACGAUGACGUUUUUCGGAAUGUAAAGUGCUUUCAGUUGGGAAGAAAAAAAUGACGGUACCAACAGAAGAAGUGACGGCUAAAUACGUG
rnacentral:rRNA from 1 species